rnacentral:rRNA from 1 species
GACGAACGCUGGCGGCGUGCUUAACACAUGCAAGUCGAACGGAAAGGCCCUUCGGGGUGCUCGAGUGGCGAACGGGUGAGUAACACGUGGGUGAUCUGCCCUGCACUUUGGGAUAAGCCUGGGAAACUGAGUCUAAUACCGAAUAUGAUCAUCAGCUUCAUGGUUGGUGGUGGAAAGCUUUUGCGGUGUGGGAUGGGCCCGCGGCCUAUCAGCUUGUUGGUGGGGUAAUGGCCUACCAAGGCGACGACGGGUAGCCGGCCUGAGAGGGUGACCGGCCACACUGGGACUGAGAUACGGCCCAGACUCCUACGGGAGGCAGCAGUGGGGAAUAUUGCACAAUGGGCGCAAGCCUGAUGCAGCGACGCCGCGUGAGGGAUGACGGCCUUCGGGUUGUAAACCUCUUUCAGCACAGACGAAGCGCAAGUGACGGUAUGUGCAGAAGAAGGACCGGCCAACUACGUGCCAGCAGCCGCCGUAAGAC